AGAUAUGGGUUUGUCUGUUCACUUGUUUGACAACACGAGCCGUCCAUCUAGAGGUAGUUUCCGAUAUGACUGCUGGUGCAUUUCUUUUGUGUCUUCGGAGAUUCAUAGCAACAAGAGGAACUCCAAAAAAAAUUAUUAGCGAUAACGCUAAACAGUUCAAGUUGUCUAGUGAUACCAUCAAAUUAAUUUGGGGAAAUAUGUUACAAGAGGAUGAUGUUCAAUGUUAUGUGUCGGGGCAAGAUAUAAAAUGGACAUUUAUUGUCGAAUUAGCACCAUGGAUGGGUGGUUUUUAUGAAAGAUUAGUCGGAAUUGUCAAGCAAGCGUUACGAAAAUCUCUCGGCAGAAAACUAUUGAUAAUGGAUCAAAUGAACACUGUGAUAAAGGAAGUGGAGUCUGUAAUUAACAGGAGACCAUUGGUAUAUGUUGGCGAAGAUAAGUCUUCAAUUGCUCUGACACCGUGCCACUUUUGAGUUUAAAUCCAAAAACUGGAAUCCCGGAGCUCGACUAUGAUACAAAGGAUCCCGAAUUUAAACCAUAUGAAAGCACUGCUGAAAAAUUAUUGCAAAUUUGGAAAAAAGGGGAACAACUUUUGAAUAGAUUUUGGGUAUUAUGGCGAGAUGAGUAUUUGCUUAGUUUACGAGAAUGAUCACAAAACAAAAUAAAAUCGUCAAGAAUCCAGUCUCAUGAACACCAAGUGUAGGAGAUGUAGUUAUAGUAAAGGAUAACUUACCUCGUGGUCAGUGGAAACUUGGGAAAGUGAUAAAGCUCCAUACAAGCCAAGACGGUCAAAUUAGAUCUGCUAAGUUAAAGGUAUCGAACGGACAAAUUCUGAGAAGACCGCUUAAUUUGCUCUAUCCGAUAGAGAUAUCAGGCAGUGACACAAUGUUACAAAAUAGUGUAAAUCAUGAUAAAAUUGUUACAAAUGAUGCUAAAGAAGAAAGGCCUAAACGAAGAGCUGCAGAAAAAGCGAAAGAACUUUUAAGAAGAAUUUAAAUUCGUGGCGGUAGGAUCGCUAAAACGCGAAAAAUGAUAUAAAUGUGAAAAUGGAUUUACAAUAAUGUAACAGUGCUGUGGUUAGUUUAUACAUGAAUAAAUACGGAGAUUUUGUAAAUAAUUUAAUGAUAAUAAGUUGAAUGUACAUAAGUUAUUUUCAAGUACAGAUGGGAGCAAGUGUUAUAGUCAUCAUAAGCGUUAAAUCACGUGGUCGGUGGGAGCAAAGUAUAAUGAAAACAUUAAUGGCGCGCAGUUUGCACGUGAAAAACGAGGAAAGCAUUUACUUUUUGUUGGGUAUAUCCCAUGUGUUCUAUUCAUUCAUUUAUAACUUAUUUUUCACCGUGAGCGGACGUACUUUAAAGACACCACAAUGUUUUCUUGCGAUACUUGUGAAAAAACGUUUACGCAGAAAAGAAAUCUGAAACACCAUAUUUCAGAGGCACAUUUAUUUCCAAAAGAUUGGUGCUGUACUAUAAAGGAUUGUAGUGCAAAAUUCCUGCGACGCUAUACUCUUGUUAAUCACUUGGUGAAGAUGCAUCAACUAUCAAAGUUACAGGCUUUGCAAACAGCGCUUACGUGUUACUCAACAUUGCCAGGCUGAAGAUAGCGAUAAAGUUGAAGAGGAAAGUGGAAGUGUUGGUGAUAGUGAUGUGGAUUUGAAUGCUAGUUAUGAAUAUGGAAAUAAUGGAGUUGAAAGUGAUUUAGAUGGUGAUGCCUUACGUAAUUCUAAAAGGUGUACUGAGAAAAAUAUGUUCAAAUGAAUGCACAAAGUGGACGCCAAAAGAACAUUGGGAUGUUUAUUUAAAAAGUAUCGCUACGACUUGGGGUAUGUUCCCAGGUGAAUACAGCUCUACAACCAACGUAGAUCUAUUAAUUUUUCCUGUGAAUGUUUUAGAAAAAGUCUGAAUACACGAGAUUGGUAGUGUGAUAACAACCAAGUAUUUUGGUUGUUGAUAGUCUGAAUGCAAGCAUUGGACUGAUCUGUAUGAGUCCCAGGGAUGUUUAAUUAGGUAAGCGAUAUGUAUCAGACUGGAAGCAUUCAUUUGUAAUUAACACCUGGUGAGAGCGAUUUUUACAAAUCUAACUGAUCAGAGUUCGAAGGCCGUGCCGAAUUUUAUAUGUCUGAUCCUAGAUUUCUAAGAGGGCGCGAAAUUUUGUAUGUCCGUUGCCGCUCAUUUACCGUCUGAUAUCUAACGGCGUAAAUAAAAAGUGUUUAUUGAUGAAGUAUAUAAAUCAAUUAAUAACAAUUUUAUGAAUUUAAUCAGAGACUUCAUUUAUAUGACCAAUUUAAUUAUGUUUUAAAUAAAUUAUGUAGAGUUGUUUUCUCUUUAUACAUAUGUUUCAAAAAUGGCUGUAUUUAUAAUAUUAUUUCUAUAAUAAAGUGAGUUUUCAUGAGAGAAUGCGGGUCUGUUUGGAGAUAGACAAGCUGUUGAGAAUUUUCUAUGUUGAUGUACAGGCAUUGUAACUCUUGAAUAAACAAAGAGUGAAAAUUUAUCUUAAGCUAUUGUUUAUUUGUUAAUUUAGAUAGACUAAAAUUACGCAUUUUUGUUAGAUUGUCUGUAUUCUGUGAUACCGUCGUGUAAUGUAAUACCUAGGUUUAUAAUUUUCUAUUUUGGUAUUUCUUUCGGAUAAUUAAGAUUUUAACUGUACAUUUCAAAAGUCAGACAAAACAUGUCAACUUUACAGUAGCUUCAGGGUGUAAAACAUCCGUAGUUUACGGAAGUGAAAUAAUGUGUCUGAUGUGUUUUCCUGUAUAAUCCUUUAUAAACUCAAUAUACUCUGUGAUCAGGAGAGAGGCUGCCCAAGUGGCGGGCUAAGGGUCUUGUUCCCGCUCUCAUGAGCUGAAAUUUAAUAAGCAUUGUUAAGAGCUAGGCUGAAGUACAUGUAUAAUUAAGAACUUAUAUUUAUAGAGUUGUUAACAGAACUGAUUUAGAAAGCUUAUUGAACAUUUAUUAUAUCUGUGAAAUUAGUUGGAACAUUUAUAAGUAACUGUGCAUUGCUGUCGUAGUAAAAUAAAUGUUAGAACUGUCGUAAUUUGUUGUGUUUCAAGUAAGCUUCAGGUACAACGUGCUACGUUACAAGCACUUUUAUGGCGCCGGUGACCAGGAUGUCGAAUUCUACAAUGGGUUGUUGCGAGAUCAAUGUGCAAGUACUACCACUAUACCAUGAUACGCCGAAAAUGAUGUGAUGCUGCUAACAGUAAGACCUUUAUUUUCAAACAUAGUUCUUAAAUACAAGCUUUUUCUGUUUUAAAAACAAGAAAUUUAACUUAUUCAUCAUUUGGAGUUUGAGACGAAACUGAAUAAGAAUGUACUUGGCUAAUUUUCGUAUUCCUUUGAAAUUCAUACGAAAUCAUGAUGAAAUUUUAUUAGAAUAUGAUUAUUUAGCUGAAAAAUGUUGAAAAUAGCAAAAUGAUUAAAGAAACGCAAGGAAGCCUCAAAUAUUUAUUUUUGUGUAUAUAAAGUUACUAUUUUUUGUUGUUUAUGCAUAUUUCAUUCUGUAAAUAGCUAUUUUAUUGAUACCCAAUGGUGCAUUCUUAUAUUGUAAUUGUAAAGGAAAAGCUAUGGAAGCUUAAAUUCCUUGAAACCAUUUUAAUAGUAUUAAAUGGCGUAUCCUCUAUAAUGUGUCCAUUUUCGAUAUGGAUACUAGUAAUUAAAACUAUAGAGGUGCUGUGCUUUCGCACGGGUUGAACGUUUAAGUACACGUUUAUUUAAGGCACUUUUGGGAGCAAUUUUAUUGACUAUUUAUUACUUGUAUAUAGAUUCAUCGGAGUACAGUCAUAUUGAUUUGAGUGUUUAAAAUCAAUUAAGCUGAAUUGAUAUAUUUGUUUCCUAGCCUCAAGGCAGGCUUGUCAACCGCGUCUAGAGAAGACGAUGUGUUGUGAUAUAAUAUAAAAAUCCCUUUAGGUGUAGAGUUGAUUUGAUACAAAUAGGCUCAGGGAUUAGGUAUGAAUGUUAAAAUCGCCACUAUACUAGGUUCAGUAUGUAGACUGUUUUUAUUGAAAGUAACAGUUUGUGGUCAUUCAUGGGUAUAAAUAUUCAGCUGUUCGUGAAGUAAAAGAGAUGUUGUACUCCGUCAUUGUUAUGCAUGUAGAAGCAUAACUGAUUAUUGUCAUUAAUUUGUGUAAAUAUUGAUUUCAGUAUGUGUUUUGUUUGCUUGCAAAUUUGUUUAUUUCUAUGUAAGGUGUCAUACGGUAUAAUAUUUGACGUUUUGCUAGCGUUUCUUCUCUUGUGUGAGAUACUGAUUUUGUCCGUUGUCUGUUUUAGACUAUAGACUUUAAAGAAAAUUGAAACAAGCUUGUACUUAAUAUUAAGAACUAUGAAGAUUAAAAAGGCUUGAUAGCUUAUGCUCACAUAUUCAUAUGAAUAUCCCGGUGAAGGAUUUAGAAAUAAAGAUAGUUCUAACACAACAUUUGUAAACAGUACAUACUAUGAAAUAAUUUGAACUUGGCAAUUCAGAUAAAAACAGUGAUAAAUAAACAUAACAUUCAUAUUUAAAAUGUAUAGAAAAGGAGAGACAUUUCACUGAAUUUCUUACUACGAAGUUAUUUUAUUCAAAUUAAAACGCAAUGAAUGGACUUUGUACAGUAUCAUAAUUAUUAAAUUAAAUGCAUAUUAUCGAAUGACAAGCUGAAACAACAGAAAGUUAACAUGAAAUUAAUUCGCAGAACUUUAGAACAUUUUAGUGCAUGGAGAAAUUAAACGACGAUUAUCGAGUUGGAUAUGGUACGACAAGGUUUCGGCAAUUCAACGAUGAUAACAUCUCCUUGGGUGGAUUCGUUUCACAAAACAAGGAACGAUGGCAGUGGACUUGUUUAAGAAGCUACGGCUUGAGAACCACCGUCUGCUGAUUCCAUGGUCGUUUAACGUCAAACUAUAGUCGAAUCAAUGGUCAUGUGCGGUAGAUGUCACAUUUCACCAGCCAACUUGGAACACAGGAAGAAGAUUUCUCAUUGCAUCUGUUUAAAUUUAUUCCUUUAUCACUUACUUUUUAAACAAGUUGCUUUAUUCUCUCAAGUGAAUUUUUCCAUCAUAGACUGGUACAUUGCUUAUGAUUAAGAAACUAUAUAUUUAUACAUCUUAAUAUAAUAUUUCAAAAAAUGUUAAUCUUACUUGUAAGGAAAACAUGUUACCGUGCAGAAAAAUGUGUUAACAUACAAACUUUCGUAUAUCUGAGUUUCAUGCAAUGUUAAACAGAAUUUUAAUUGUGCUUUCUAAUUUCAGAAUUUGAUGUAUUUGUACCGAUUGAUUCAGAAUAUCCAUGAAAACACAGACCUUGAAUGGAAUUCCUACGCAAACUGGAGCAUUCUAAAUAUGGAGAAUGAAAAUGAUUUUCAUUACGUACAAAUGUGUGAUUGUGAAUAGGACUAUAUCAAAUAAUGAAUGCUACGUACACAUAUGAAAUGAUGUUUUCUGUGUAACUUUUAUGAUGAAUUCUGUGUUCAAGUUAUAACUUAUUUGUAUGUUUAAGCUAUGUUAAUCUAUCAUAUGAUUUAAUAUCUGAAACCUAAACAAGUAGGGAUUCCUGUUUAUUUGAUUUCAUUGAUGUAUGCAAGGGAACGAACAAUUAAAGGAACAUCUCCUGUCUCCUUGAUUGGCGUGCCCUGUUAUAUUGACACAUUAUUCAAUUCCCCAAUAUACAACAUAAUAGCUAGUCCAUAUUAGUUGGAUCUUUUAGACUUCUAUAAUUUUACUGUUUAUUUAGUUCAUUCAGACAUUUCAACCUUUUUUUAUUGUUUUUUUUUUUUUCGUGAAGAAAUGAAGGAAUUUGUAAUGUAAUACCUAGGUUUAUAAUUUUCUAUUUUGGUAUUUCUUUCGGAUAAUUAAGAUUUUAACUGUACAUUUCAAAAGUCAGACAAAACAUGUCAACUUUACAGUAGCUUCAGGGUGUAAAACAUCCGUGAAUUAAUUACUAAGUUUACGGAAGUGAAAUAAUGUGUCUGAUGUGUUUUCCUGUAUAAUCCUUUAUAAACUCAAAAUACUCUGUGAUCAGGAGAGAGGCUGCCCAAGUGGCGGGCUAAGGGUCUUGUUCCCGCUCUCAUGAGCUGAAAUUUAAUAAGCAUUGUUAAGAGCUAGGCUGAAGUACAUGUAUAAUUAAGAACUUAUAUUUAUAGAAUUGUUAACAGAACUGAUUUAGAAAGCUUAUUGAACAUUUAUUAUAUCUGUGAAAUUAGUUGGAACAUUUAUAAGUAACUGUGCAUUGCUGUCGUAGUAAAAUAAAUGUUAGAACUGUCGUAAUUUGUUGUGUUUCAAGUAAGCUUCAGGUACAACGUGCUACGUUACAGUCGUGCAUUUAUUUUCUACGGUUCAGAUAUUGUCCAUUUAAAGAUUCAUGUUAUCUGAUAUUGCUGCCAGUCUAUAAUUUCUACUUCUAUAUUUUUUUCACGAUUGAUGUAAAAUUGAGUCAAAAUAUUUGUUUAAGUUUUACUAGUUUUAUGUAAAUUUAGUUUUAGUAUAUUGGUACAUUGCUUCAAUGUGUCAAUAUAACCCGCCCGCUUAGCUCAGUAGGUAAGAGCGUUGGUCUACGGAUCGCGGGCUUGUGAGUUCGAUCCUCGGGCGGGGCGUAUAUGUAGUGUUAUGCAUGCAACUGUGCUGCAUCUGCACGGUUUUUAUGUUACAUUUUUGUUUCAAUAUGUAAUAUUUGAAACAAAAAUGUUAAAUAGACUUAUUUCAUUAUUUACAAGAUAAAUAUUGGCAUUCCCUGUAAAUCGUAAAUGUGUCUGGAUUUUAGCGGGAUUUGACGAUGACAUUUAACAACGUUUCGCCAGUUCCGGAUUUAUAUUAAAAUUGUUGUUGAACUGAAAGAACGCCAUGGUGUAGAAAUUUAGUCGAAAUUUGUCAUUUUGAUAAAGGCCAUAAGGCUGAAACGUUAAUAAAACAGAGUCUUUAAAAUUGAUCGUUAAGCAAAAUAGAAUCAAAGAAGUACAUGACGAGUGAUUAGUUAUGUAGAAUAUCACAUGGGGUUGUUUGCAUGAUGUGAAGUUUCUCGAUGUUGGCCUACAUAUGUGUCCCCGAUUAAUGAAACUAUUUUAUUUCAUUUAAGCAAAAUAGAAUCAAAGCAUCACAAGGAGGCGUUUGCGUCUUCUAGCUCUUUGUGUAGAAAAAGAUCUGAGGAGAUGCACAUGACUACUUAUUGGAGUCAAGCCAUGGUCACGUGACUGAUACACGUGAUGGAAACGCUAAUAUUGUAUAGAAUGCUUGAACUGUGAUAAAAUAAACGGAUUUGAAAAAAGAUUUAUUGAAAUUUACGGAAAAGUUCCAGCGGAAGAAGGCAGAUACAGAAUUAAGAUACUGAAGGCUGAAAAGAUGUUGAUGAUACGGACAAUGAAUCAUAUUCUCAAAUUUCUUAAAAAUUUUCAGAGACACAUUUUUCUACUUAGCUUAUCUAAUACAGUCAAACCUGUGUGUAAAGAACACCUCUGGGAAAAUGAAGAAGGGCUGUUUGUCGACAGAUGGUCUCUCUACAAAGGAUACUUUACACUAUUAAUGGAUGAACGAGUGAAAAUAGAGACCUUUAUUAGCUGGUUUUCAGGUUGUGACCUUUAUUCGGAGGUGUUAUGUAGUACAGGUUUGACUGUAUACUGUUUCUCCGUGCUAAGUAUUCAUAACAAACACCAUUUUUCUGAAUUAAAUCCUCUCUAAAUUUGUUAAAAAUGAACUUUUGUGCACACUUAUGAACGGAUGGUAAUUUUGUGAACGUAUUGCUAUUCCACUAAGUAUCAAGAUGCUUCUGAAAGUAUGAAAUUUACAUUGGUUUUGACAAAUGUAUAUAACUGGUUUUAAGAUAUCUAUUAAGUUAUUUCUCAGUGUUAUUUCAAACUAUGUGUAAAUAAUAAUAUCCAAUGUUACAUGCAAAAUAUGCAUGAUUCGUUAAGACCAAAAACAAUGAUUUCCAUAGAACCGCUUGUAUAGAAAACUUUCUUAAUAGGUAACGUCAAUUUUGAAAAAAAAAAACAAUGCAUGUGAAUAAAUUCAAGUUCUGCUGCUUUCGAA